rnacentral:rRNA from 1 species
AUUGAACGCUGGCGGCAGGCCUAACACAUGCAAGUCGAACGGGUGGAGGACGGGUGAGUAAUGUAGGGGAAAGUGGCUGAUGGAGGGGGAUAACUGCUGGAAAAGGUAGAUAAUACCGCUUAAGAUCGGAUGAGCCCAGAUGGGAUUAGCUAGUAGGUGGGGUAAAGGCUCACCAAGGCGACGAUGCCUAGCUAGUCUGAGAGGAUGACCAGACACACUUGGUCUGAGGCACGGUCCAGAGUCCUACGGGAGGCAGCAGUGGGGAAGAUUGCACAAUGUGCGAAAGCCAGAUACAGCCAUGCCGCGUGUAUUAAUAAGGCUUUCGGGUUUUAAAUUUCUUUCAGUGGUGAGGCGUUAUCCGCAGAAAAAGCACCGGCUAACUCCGUGCCAGCAGCCGCGGUAAUAC